rnacentral:rRNA from 1 species
CAAAGGAAGCGAUUCCGGCGGGGGAUGGGCAUGCGGCGCAUUAGCUAGUCGGCGGGGUAACGGCCCACCGAGGCGACGAUGCGUAGGGGUUCUGAGAGGAAGGUCCCCCACACUGGUACUGAGACACGGACCAGACUCCUACGGGAGGCAGCAGUGAGGAAUAUUGGUCAAUGGGCGGGAGCCUGAACCAGCCAAGUCGCGUGAGGGAAGACGGUCCUAUGGAUUGUAAACCUCUUUUGCCGGGGAGCAACGGGGUCCUUGCGAGGGCCUAAUGAGAGUACCCGGAGAAAAAGCAUCGGCUAACUCCGUGCCAGCAGCCGCGGUAAUACGGAGGAUGCGAGCGUUAUCCGGAUUUAUUGGGUUUAAAGGGUGCGUAGGCGGGCUGUUAAGUCAGCGGUCAAAUGUCGGGGCUCAACCCCGGCCUGCCGUUGAAACUGGUGGCCUCGAGUGGGCGAGAAGUAUGCGGAAUGCGUGGUGUAGCGGUGGAAUGCAUAGAUAUCACGCAGAACUCCGAUUGCGAAGGCAGCAUACCGGCGCCCGACUGACGCUGAGGCACGAAAGCGUGGGUAUCGAACAGGAUUAGAUACCCUGGUAGUCCACGCAGUAAACGAUGAAUGCUAGCUGUCCGGGGCUUCGGUCCUGG